rnacentral:rRNA from 1 species
GACGUAGGGCGCGAGCGUUUGUCCGGAUUUAUUGGGCGUAAAGAGCUCGUAGGCGGCUUGUUGCGUCAGCUGUGAAAACCCGCAGCUCAACUGUGGGCUUGCAGCUGAUACGGGCAGGCUUGAGUUCGGUAGGGGAGACUGGAAUUCCUGGUGUAGCGGUGAAAUGCGCAGAUAUCAGGAGGAACACCGGUGGCGAAGGCGGGUCUCUGGGCCACUACUGACGCUGAGAAGCGAAAGCAUGGGGAGCGAACAGG